rnacentral:rRNA from 1 species
CCUACGGGAGGCAGCAGUAGGGAAUAUUGCGCAAUGGGGGAAACCCUGACGCAGCAACGCCGCGUGAGUGAGGAAGGUCUUCGGAUUGUAAAACUCUUUUAUUAGGGAAAAAUGUCCAUUUGGCUAAUAUCCAAGUGGAGUGAUGGUACCUAAGGAAUAAGCACCGGCUAACUUCGUGCCAGCAGCCGCGGUAAUA